AUAAAGCAGCUAUCCGAACCUAAUCCGAUUCCGAUAGGAUUAGGAGGUAUUUAGUUGUAGCCAAAGGGUGGUGGUGGUCGUGCAGCUCGCGGAGUCGUGGUAUUUGCAGAAUGCGACACUACAAGAUUAGGUCCUUUAUAAACAGCAGUGAAUUUGCAAAUAUAUAAUGGAGAAGGUAAUUGGAUUGCUUGUGUAGAAAUACCGACCUACAGAAAGUGCAGUGCAAGUCAUGCUUAGAACUUCUGAAAGUGGACACUGCGACGAAAGCGGUGCAUGAAAUCCUCGCGCUGAUGUUGUUAUGAUGACGUCUCUGUGGACGAUGAUAUAGCCCGGCUAUAUUGAAGAUCUAUGGCUGAAGGAAGUGCUUGGCUGACAUUUUACAGAGAAGUAAGGGACCCUCGACACCCACUACUGUCAACCAUGUCUGUCAUAAAAACUGAAUGGAAUGUCUGUAUUUGCAGAGGAUUCGUCCCCUUAGAUUCAUUUAGGUACCUUACUACUGGUGGUGCUUUAUAACCAUGAUCUCACCCAUAAGGCUGUGCCGUCACCUUGUUUGAAUGUACACUCCGGCGAACUUUAUUCAACAUUUUAAUUUUUUUUUCUAAAGUUGGCUCUCGGCUUGCUUACUUUUCAAAUCGAUCAUUUUUGUCAUAUCUGGAACGAUGUGGCAUUCCUGGAUUUUUUUUUCUAUACAUAGUAUAGUGGUUCGAACUCACUGGCUAGGUUACUUCUGUAAACUUCUGUGGUUAAUGUACAUAGUCACAUUACUAACUGUAUAAAUGUUCUCUCAGUUCAUUUCACCCUCGGUACUUUUCUUUUACUGCAUUUGUUUUGUGCUUUCAGUUGUCUUUGGUAAAAUUGACUGAAACUGUCCUUGCAACUCAUUCUGCGGGAAAGAAAUGCAACAAGCUGUAGUCGCGGCUUGAGGACACUUUCUUGGUGUCGAACUUUAUAUUUGAAACUUUAGUUUCUAGAAGUAAAUUUAAGAUAACAUUUCUCUUUCGGGGUUUCACUACUGCCACUGCAUUAAGCUGACUUGAGUAUGCUGUCCUCCCCAUGAAAUUUGAAGGUGCAGAAUUUUAAGGAUUUAUAAUAAAAGUGUGUUUAGGGUCUUUCACUACCCAAAUAGUGACUGUGUCUUAAACAAAUGUAUUUAUUCAAUCCCUAGGGAUAUCCUAUUGUAAUUAUAUGCUAAACACAGAAUGAUUUGGCCAAAAGGGUUUAUUAAUCAUGGUGGCAUGUCAGCCCUGUCUGACUCGUAGGCGAAGUUACUCAUAUUGUCGUUACACAUUUUUCUGCCAUAGUCAAGGUUACUGUUUAUGAACUUAUGGGCGCAUAAGUCCAUUGUGCUAUACCAAGAGCUUAUAGACACAUCAAUCCAUUGUGGCAUGGCAGUUAACAUGUGAGUAAACCAGCACAUUUCUCGUGUAACUGAAAAAUUUAUGUGUGAAAUUAAUAAUACCCCCCAUUCUCAUGUAGAAAAUCAAUCAAGGAUUUUCACAAACUUUAGCCUGAUAUGUAAUGUAGAAAACUAUCAAAUCAGGAACAAAAGAUCAAUCGUGGUUUGGUGAAUCAUGUAGAUAGUAUACUUUGUUGUAAAUAGGCCAAGUGCACCAAUAUAUGGAAAUGCAAUUUAACCCAGUUUUAUUACCAUAAGAUCACUACUGAAAGUUAUUGGGAAACAGUGGACGAAAUUGAAAUCCUCUGUCAUUAGAUCUAAGGCAUCCACCGUUCGUCCCUUAUUAAUAACUGGACACUCAUUAGUCCUGAUUACAAAGCAGUGUUACUUCAAAGGCCCUCUAAAACUUGUCUUCAGUUGAAGUUUUCUUCUGAUACUGGUUUUCAUUCGGAUGUCAUUAAAAAGAUUCAAGAAAACCUAGACGGUUUUGGUGAAGAAAAUCCAGAUGAAGUUUUACUGCUGUUUUCAUAGCAGAUGUGCGAUGUCCCAUACUGAAUACUAUAGUAUGACCAUUUUUUUCCAGAACAGUUCUGGUAUUUUUGUACAAGGCAUAUUCCAAAAAGUUCUGGUAUUUUUUGUACAAGGCAUAUUCUAAAAUUGUGUUAAUACUGACUGGAAAACUGAAAGGCAAAUCUUUAUCCCUCUCAUGUUCUUCAAUGUUCCAGUGACCUUACAAGUUGUUUAAAGGUUGAUAAAUACUUAGACUCUUACAAUCUGACGUCAGUUUUGUUAAGGAAAUAAUAAGAAUCUUUUGAUGCCUUUUUACACAUAUUUAGCUUAAUUGUAUACAAUAGUGAUGUGAAUUUUUUAUACGUUUUAUUGUCCACAUUUCAUAUCAUUCACUGAUAUUAUCGCUGAAUACACUUUUUAUAAGCCUAGAUCUAUUUGUCUGGUGUUUUGUAGGGUAGUGUUGUUGUUUUUAGUCAUUUUAGUCGUUUUUUUUUUUUGUCUUUUCAAAUGGGAUAGUACAGUGAGCAGUUGAUGCAAUCUUUGUUGUAGUUUUGUUCUUCCUAAAUGCUAAGUAAAGUUAUCAUAAGCUUUGAUGGUUUGUACCAGUAUUAGAAAGUUGAUACUA